CUGGAAAUAUUUCAAGUACCAGGAGGGGAUUAGGGACUUCGGAGCGCUCUUUGCUCUUGCCCUGUGGCACAGAGCAGAAUCGACAGGAAAACCUCAGAGCAGAGACUUUCGGAGUUGGCUACGAGUCUGGGUUUGGCUCUGCCACCGUCCCCAGCCCCAGGAGCGGCCCGGUGUGCGCAGGGCUCUCUGGGGACACAGUUCCUCCCACAGGCAUGCUGCGUCACACCGACAUCCUCAGCGGAGCGCGCGGUGCCAGCCAGGCGCUCGCCGGCCCUUUGCCUCCCUGGCUACUCUGAGCGCUGGCUACGAGCCUGCUGCAUCUUUGUGCAGUUCUUAAAAAUAACCAGAAGCACUCAGGAGCAGACAGAGCAAUCCCAGAGACUCCGAGCAUCGAAGGGGCUUUGUUUCCAAGGCAACAUCUUGUCUCCUAGCUGCGAAAGGCCACGGGAAUGAAGGCAGCCUAUGGAAAAUGAAUAGCUCAAUGACAACAACAAAAAAAAAUCUGCUGGGGAGCGUAUCAGGAAGGGAGGGAGAGGGGUGUGCUGAAGGGGGCCAGGAAGGAUCACACCACGAGGGUACAGGCUUCCAGAGCUGUGCGGCCCAUUGCUGUGAAUAGCCGUGUGAACCCGAGCGAGGCGACGGCUGCGCUAAGGCCGGGCUGUGCCGAACGAGGUUGAGCCUUUGCAGUGGCUUCCGAGCCAGCUGCCCAUGCAGCGAACCGGGGGCUUGGGGCUUGGGGAGCCCAGCAGCAACACCGGUGCCCCACAGCACCUUCCUGGACAAGGGGAUGCCGGCAUGCCUGCAGCUCUGCUGCGGUGCUAUUUCGUGUGCACAUCGCCCUUACGUGACAAGACAGCUGUUCCCUGGCCUUAAUACAAUAAGGUGCUGAGCACCUGUUACACAGCCUGGAGCACACUGACCCCUACCUGGUCCCCAACUCUCCGUGCAACGCUGUGCUUUGGCAACCUGAGCUCCCUUGCUCCAUCUCAGCACACACAGCUUGGCUUCAGCCCUGCACAGCACAUGCUCAGAUCUCCUCUACAGACACAAGUUGUCAAGUUCUCAACCUCCCUUGUAGCUGAUAUCUUCAGGUCAAUCUGGAAAUGCAUUUACAGACGGUGUUUGUCUAUCAGAAUAAAGAUCUCCACAGCUCCUCAUCACUUCUGGCGAACCACAACGUUUAGUAAUGAAG